rnacentral:rRNA from 1 species
GGCGGACGGGUGAGUAAUACUUAGGAAUCUGCCCAUUAGUGGGGGACAACAUUCGGAAACGGAUGCUAAUACCGCAUACGCCCUACGGGGGGAAAGCGGGGGGAUCUUCGGACCUCGCGCUAAUGGAUGAGCCUAAGUCGGAUUAGCUUGUUGGUGAGGUAAUGGCUCACCAAGGCGACGAUCCGUAGCUGGUCUGAGAGGACGGUCAGCCACACUGGGACUGAGACACGGCCCAG